AUUUAAUGGGGGUUAAUUAUGUACAUGUAUGGACAAAUCUUGCAAGAGAAGCCAACCAAGUCAUCUUUUUCAAGAAAACUCUAGAAAAGGAAAAAUGGAAAAAAACAAAGAAGAGAAAAAUCUAGAGAGAGGCAUGUGCCCCUCACAUGCCACUAUAACUAUAUAUAUAUAUAUAUAUGUAUGAGUCUUGAAAAAACAAGACAAUUUAUCAUUUACAACUCUAGAAAUUUCAAGAGAAACAAAGAAAAAAAAAAGAACACUUUGGAAGAAAAAUAAAGGGCCAAUUUCGGCCAAGCUUGGAGGAAACAAGAACCUUGGAAAAAUUUCUCAAAAAUUACUCUCUACUAAUUGGAAGGUCCCUAGCAAGGAGAAGAGGUCAUUGGAACAAGUAGAACAUUUAUUGUUGCAAGAUCAACAUUCUAGCCAAGUGGGAAAUUGAAGAAAAAGGAUUUUGGCGGAUUUGGAACGUGAAUUUGGAGUCGCAUAAGAAGCAGAAAAGGUACACCAGACGAGCCACAGCUAUCAUAGAAGAUGAUCCAGCGGAGUUGGCAGGCUCCACUUGUUCUGGAGUGUUGCCGAGUCAGAGUAUCUGAGCUAUGAUGUUUGUUUGAUGUUAGAGACUUUGCAGACAGAGUCGUAGGUAUUGGGUUGUCAGUCUGUAAGCGGCUCCAGCAGCCGAUAUGUUAUUAUGUUUCAUGUCACGAGUCUUAUAUGAUAUCAGAUUUUACUUAUGAAAAAAAAAAUAUAUGGGAGA